rnacentral:rRNA from 1 species
GGGCAGGGUGAGUCGACCCCUAAGGCGAGGCCGAAAGGCGUAGUCGAUGGGAAACGGGUUAAUAUUCCCGUACUUGGUGUUACUGCGAAGGGGGGACGAAGAAGGCUAGGCCGGCCGGGUGACGGUUAUCCCGGUUUAAGCGUGUAGGUGGAGUGAUUAGGUAAAUCCGAUUGCUUAUUAACACUGAGGCGUGAUGACGAGUCUCUACGGAGAUGAAGUGGUUGAUGCCCUGCUUCCAGGAAAAGCCUCUAAGCAUCAGGUAACAUUAAAUCGUACCCCAAACCGACACAGGUGGUCAGGUAGAGAAUACCAAGGCGCUUGA